UAUCAUCAUUGACAACAUCACAUAUUUUCUCUUCAUGCACAACAAUGGAGAAAGAUUGUAUAUCAUCAACAUAACUGGCCAUGAACUGUCUUUGCUACUCAAAUUCCCGUACGGAUUCAUACCAUCAGUUGCAAGUGCAAGUCUUAAGUUUCUUGGAUCUGCACCAAAUUCGGGAAAUGUUUCAUCGAUCUUCUUCCAAUGUGGUGAGUUUGCUGGGUGUCUAAGAAGAUUAUCGCACUUUCUUCCUAAAACGUGCCAUUUAAGGUUCUUUGCAUCCUCCUUAAUAGAGAACAUACGUUUGAACCUAGGUAUUAUAGGCAAAUACCACAUGACCUUACCAGGUGCACCAUGAUUACCCUCUUCAGUGUUUUUGUCACGUUUCUUCUUAAAACGGCUUAAACCACAUGUUGGACAAUGCUUUAGUGAAGCAAAUUCCUUAAUUUACAAAACACAAUCAUUUGGGCAAGCAUGUAUAUUCUGAUAUUCAAGACCCAUUGGACAUAAAACUUUUUUGGCCUCGUAGUUACGAAUAGGAAGAGUAUUAUUUUCUGGAAGCAUCUCCUUCAGCAACUCCAACAACUCCGUGAAACUUUUAUCCGUCCAUCCGUUCCUUGCUUUUAAACUGAACAACUUCAAAGUUGCAAACAAACGUGUAAAGUUCGUGCAGCCUGGGUACAACGGUUGCUCAGAAUCAUUGAUAACAGAAUCGUACAAAUUAGCUCGUAAGAAGUUAUUUUCACCAACAUCACGUAUCAUGUCCUCUAAAUGAUCAGUUUCCAUUCUUCCACAUAAUUUGUUCCUCGUGAUGUCAUAGGCUGGUCAAGUAUUUCUCCAUGCCAAGUCCAAACGGUAUACGAUUUCGUUAUGCCGAACAUGAAUAGAUGAUCAUGCAAAUUGCCCAAGUUUUGCCGUAUUUGAUUAGCACAACGAACACAAGGACAAAAAUAUGUCCCGUUCACAGACUUUGCAUUUUCUUUAACAUAUUGCAAGAACACCAAAACACCUUUCUCAUAUUCUUCAGAAAUGCGACGUGCAUUCAUCCAGCUUCUAUCCAUACUAUGUUCGUAACAUACUUCAUCAGUAUUAAAUUGGACAAUUGGACAAUCGGAAAAUUCAAAAUUUAAUAAAAAAGAUUAAAAGAUUAAUCGUUUGUGUUAAAUUUCAAACGGGAAUUACGUUUCACUAAGUGAUUCCAUACUAAUGCAUGUCAAUUAUAAUAACACAACUUAACUUAAUCACGUGCAUAUAUUAACAAUCUGCAAACACAUGCAUAUACUAAUAAUUUGCAAACACAUGCAUACGUAAACGUCAAUUUGAAAUCAUAAAAAAAACCCAAUAAUAUCCAUACGCAAAUUCAAAAUGCCAACAUCAUACACAAAAGCCAAUAAUAUCCAUACAAAUGUAUCUUUCACGAAACAAAGUAACCUUUUUAGCAGAUUAUAUAUAACCAAAUGAGAUAGCUGUCGUAGUGCACGCCAAAAUAUAGGUCAGAAAUGAAGUCCAAAAACAGUCCAAAAUGCAAGCCAACAAAGACGUUUGAAACUGCAACAAAACGCAACGAAAUGAAAUUAUGAUCGGUUCAAAAGAUAACUUUUUCAUGAAAGACUAAUUCAAUCGGAGCAAAACUAAAUUUAAACGGUCAAAAACACAGAAAAUGAACCUCUAAUGGCGCGACGGAGAAGAGCUCUCGACGAAGAAGACGAUCAAUAGUGGAAACUGCUCGCGGGUUCACGUUCUAAAGUUUAUGUCACUGUAGACGUCGGUUACCAGUCGAGACAGACGUCUGAAAGAUUAUAGACGUCGCUAAUCUCACUAAUGCGACGUCUAUAUCAUUUAAAUAUUAAUAUUGGCGCGGAUUAUAGACAUCAAGUAGGUGAGCAACUGACGUCUAGUUGGACAGAGUCGUCGGUUGGAUUGUAACCGACGUCUGGUCUGUAGCAUAAUCAUUAUAGUUUCACCUAACUGUCAGGUUAUAGACGUCUCUUAUGCGGGGACUGGACGUCUAUGUCUCAGACAUUAAUGGCACCAAACUACCUGUCAGGUUAUAGACGUCUAUUGGGGGGGCACCGACGUCUACCUCCCGACUUUUCACCAUCUCUGAGACCGCCUAGACGUCGGUGUUGUUCUUGCGGACGUCUACAGGUCGACUGUUCACCUUACAUGGCAGCCUGUGGACGUCGCCUUUUUUUGGUGACCGACGUCUAUAAUUCUUCAGGCAUCAGUUGGGCCAGGGCCCGACGUCUACUUACCCUACUUAAUUACGAAGUUGCCACCGGUCAUCAUUUUACGACCGUGCACAUAACAACUGACGUCUAGGCGGUGACGUUAAACAGCGUUUUUCCACUAGUGUCAGAAGAUGAGGUUCAUCCAUAUGUCUUGAGAAACAAUCGGUUUCAUCCUUAGUUUAAGGUAAUCAUUUGAAUUUGUCAGUUAACGUUGUAAUUUUAUGAAAGGAUGUUAAUAUUAUGCAGUUGUUAGAUGACUUCUUAUAUUAAUGCUUAGGAUUUCUUAGGGGCCAUAAAUGGUACUCAUGUUCGUGUAAGGGUGCCAAAAGCAGAUGCUCCGAGAUUUCGUGGAAGAAAAGAUUGGCCUACUCAAAAUGUGUUUGUCGCAUGUGACUUUGAAAUGAAAUUCACAUAUGUUCUAGCUGGGUGAGAAGGCACAACAUCUGAUUCUAGAAUCUUAAAACAUGCUCUUAAUCGAGAUGAUCCUUUGUUGAUCCCUCAAGGUAAGUGUAUUCAUUGAGAUGUUAUGCUUGGUUCUUUAUUAGUUACUAAAUACUGAUUUCUACAACAUUGUAGGAAAAUACUAUAUUGGCGACCCUAGAUUUUUGCUCAAAAGUAUGGUUAUGACACCAUAUAGAGGCGUCAUAUAUCACCUCAAAGAAUUUAUAUGUAGAGGACCCCAAAAUGCAUGCGAGGUCUUUAACCAUCGACAUUCAUCAUUGAGAAACGUUAUUUAAAGAAGAUUUGGUGUAUUGAAGAAACGGUUCCCUAUCAUUGCAAGUGGCACUGAUCCACAUUAUGGAUUAGAGACAAUGAUAAACAUUAUUUUAGCUUGUUGUAUCCUACACAACUUUAUCCGUGGAGUUGAUAACGAUGACCCAUUGCUUAAUGAGUUUGAUAAUAAGUUCAAUGAAAGGGAAGAGCAUAAUGUUUCAUCUUCUCAAGUUUGAGAAGAUGAUUAUAGGGUUAUUUGUACUAUUAGGGAUGCCAUAGCUGAUGAAAUGUGGCGAGAUUAUCAAAACUCAUAGUUAUUGUAAUUGAUAGUUUUUUAUGACUAUUUUCUUUGAAUAUGACAUCUAUCUGGUUUUAUGAUUAAUUCAACUUGACUUGUUACCAUUUUCUUUAUGAAACAGGUUUAAUAUGGACAAGGGUAAGGGAGUAACCAUUGAGUCCUCCGAUGGUACAAGAGAGUUCAUUAAAUGGACUGAGGACAUGGAUGCUAGGCUUUUGCAUUCUAUGAUCGAGGAGACUCGUUUGGGUAAUAUGGUUGAUGGCAGUUAGACAACCUAAGCCUACAAUAACAUGGUUGAAUACCUUCAUAAUUGUGGUUAUGUUAAUGUUAGUAAAUCUAAUGUCAAAAAUCGUCAAAUGGUGUUGAAAGAUAGAUGGCAUGAGGUUCAUGACCUCUUUGGUGGAUUGAGUGCAUUUGCAUGGAAUGCCGUUAGUAUGAGAUUUGAAGUUGAGGAUGAAGUGUGGGCUGACCUCAUUCAGAAAUUGUGAAAUGGCCUCAUCAUCAAUCAAAAGGCCUAGAAAAAGUCGUAAGGGAAAAGAAACCCUAAUUGAGGUAGAAGAUGCAGCCUAUGUAAGAUCAUCUCUUGCAGAACAAUUAGAUCAGCGUCGUUUCUUCAAUCAUAGCCAUCAGAUGGAAAACUAUGCAGCUGAUUUCUACACAAGGAAUAUUGUCGUUCCUAAAAUAAUGAAUUUUGAAUCAUUUGCCAGUUCAAGCUUAUAUUUUCAACAUCAUCUUUUAUUUCAAGGAGUGGUAGAAUUUCUGACAUUGCAGGCAACCUUCUAUCUAGAUUUGAUCAAAGUUUUCUACUCAAAUCUAAAGAUUUCUGCAAAUGGAUAUUUGCUCAGUAAGGUCAAUAAGAGAAGAAUCAGAUUGAAACCUGCCGAUUGGUUGAAUAUUGCUAAUAUGAAGUAUGAGGGUCAAAAUUUGUGAUGUUCAACUAUCCCAGACGACUUUCCCUAUGAUCGAGAGAUGGCAUUAGCUACUAUGGUUAGACCAGAAAUGCAGGGUCAACGUGUUAAAACAAUUGGUUCUUGGAAUAUUAAUGAUAGACUUCUGCAUUAUGUUAUUGCGCACAUGUUGACUCCAUGACCUGGAAAUUUUGCAAGGUUAUUACAAGAGGAUAUCUUUAUAAUAUGGGUGCUUAAAAAUAAUAUAGCUAACAAUUGGCCUCAUCACAUCAUGUAGCGUAUGCUUAAAUGCAAGGCCGAUGACACACCCCUACCAUAUGGUGUCCUUAUCACCCAAAUCAUGCAAUAUUGUGGAGUACAUGUUGAUGUCGAUGCCAACACUCAUAUUGGAACUAGACAUCAUUUCAAUUAAUUCUUUAAAGAGGUUGAAUAUUGUUAAUGUCAACGGUGUUUGGCAACACGAUGUUGGUGAUGAUGAAGAAGAAGAGCAACCUCAUCAUCAUGACAACCCUAUGCAACCUCUUCCACAUCUUUCAAAUCCUAAUAUGAUGACUCAAAUGUGGGAGGGGGUACAAAACUUGCAACAUAGAAUGUAAGGUAUGGAACAAAUGCAGGUGCGGGUUCAACGUAUUGAAGAUAACUUGGCAAACCUAUCUCUCGACAUGAACCGACAAUUUGCUCACCUGAAUCAAAACGUUAACUUAAUUCUUCACCAUUUAGAUGAUUAAGUUGCUUACUAUUACAUCAGUGUACUACAUGAUUUUUUUCCUGUACUUGACUUAUGUGAUUGAUUUCUUACAUUACCUAUUUUUGAAUUGUAGUUGCCUUCACAUAACUUUUCAUAAUUUUAUUUAUUGUCAACUUAUUGAACUAAAAAACAGAUGGAUCCAGGAAUAAUUGAUGAAUUGGAAGAAAUAAUGACUCAAAGAACAAGACUAUAUGCGGCUCUUGAACGCCAAAUACAGGCAAUGGAGCGUCGAAAUUCACUGUUAUCGGCUAGGAAUCAAUCAUCUAAUCCAGCAUCGGAAGAAAUUGAUAACUUAUUACAACCUAUGAAUAUUCAAGAUAAUAAUUUAUCCAGAUAGUGCUUCGACUUUCUAUCUUCACAUCCAUCCCAUACAAGACGUUUAAUAUGGAUGCCGCCACAAUAUCGUUUCAAUAGAUUGCCUACAUACCUCAGUCAAGCAACUUCAUCAUGAUCUAUUACAAAUGUAUUUGUAUGUUAUUAUGUUCGGACUUUUUAUUUUAUGUCAUGUAAUAUUAUAACUUCGUUUAAUUAUCGGUUGUAUUCAAAAUUAAUAAAUCUCACAUCCAUAACAAAU